rnacentral:rRNA from 1 species
UACGUAGGGUGCAAGCGUUGUCCGGAAUUAUUGGGCGUAAAGAGCUCGUAGGCGGUUAGUCGCGUCUGCUGUGAAAACUCGGGGCUUAACUCCGGGCCUGCAGUGGGUACGGGCUGACUAGAGUGCGGUAGGGGAGACUGGAAUUCCUGGUGUAGCGGUGAAAUGCGCAGAUAUCAGGAGGAACACCGGUGGCGAAGGCGGGUCUCUGGACAGUUCCUGACACUGAGGCACGAAGGCCAGGGGAGCAAACGGG